ACUCCUACGGGAGGCAGCAGUGGGAAUAUUGCACAAUGGGCGCAAGCCUGAUGCAGCAACGCCGCGUGAGGGAUGAAGGCCUUCGGGUUGUAAACCUCUUUUAGCAGGGAAGAAGCGAAAGUGACGGUACCUGCAGAAAAGCACCGGCUAACUACGUGCCAGCAGCCGCGGUAAUACGUAGGGUGCAAGCGUUGUCCGGAAUUAUUGGGCGUAAAGAGCUCGUAGGCGGUUUGUCACGUCUGCUGUGAAAAUCCAAGGCUCAACCUUGGACUUGCAGUGGGUACGGGCAGGCUAGAGUGCGGUAGGGGAGAUGGGAAUUCCUGGUGUAGCGGUGGAAUGCGCAGAUAUCAGGAGGAACACCAAUGGCGAAGGCACAUCUCUGGGCCGUAACUGACGCUGAGGAGCGAAAGCGUGGGGAGCGAACAGGAUUAGAUACCCUGGUAGGUC
rnacentral:rRNA from 1 species